AUUGAACGCUGGCGGCAGGCCUAACACAUGCAAGUCGAGCGGAUGACGGGAGCUUGCUCCUUGAUUCAGCGGCGGACGGGUGAGUAAUGCCUAGGAAUCUGCCUGGUAGUGGGGGACAACGUUUCGAAAGGAACGCUAAUACCGCAUACGUCCUACGGGAGAAAGUGGGGGCUCUUCGGACCUCACGCUAUCGGAUGAGCCUAGGUCGGAUUAGCUAGUUGGUGGGGUAAAGGCUCACCAAGGCGACGAUCCGUAACUGGUCUGAGAGGAUGAUCAGUCACACUGGAACUGAGACACGGUCCAGACUCCUACGGGAGGCAGCAGUGGGGAAUAUUGGACAAUGGGCGAAAGCCUGACCCAGCCAUGCCGCGUGUGUGAAGAAGGUCUUCGGAUUGUAAAGCACUUUAAGUCGGGAGGAAGGGCUGCAGGUUAAUACCUUGCAGCCUUGACGUUACCGACAGAAUAAGCACCGGCUAACUUCGUGCCAGCCGCCGCCGUAACAC
rnacentral:rRNA from 1 species